UGCCAGCAGCCGCGGUAAUACGGAGGGAGCGAACGUUGUUCGGAUUCACUGGGCGUAAAGGGCGUGUAGGCGGUUUUGCAAGUCAAGCGUGAAAUACCACGGCUCAACCGUGGAACUGCGCUCGAAACUGCAGAACUUGAGGCUGUGAGAGGAGAUUGGAAUUCCCGGUGUAGCGGUGAAAUGCAUAGAUAUCGGGAAGAACACCAGUGGCGAAGGCGAAUCUCUGGCACAGUUCUGACGCUAAUGCGCGAAAGCUAGGGGAGCGAACGGGAUUAGAUA
rnacentral:rRNA from 1 species